rnacentral:rRNA from 1 species
UACGUAGGGUCCGAGCAUUGUCCGGAAUUAUUGGGCGUAAAGAGCUCGUAGGCGGUUUGUCGCGUCUGCUGUGAAAUCCCGAGGCUCAACCUCGGGCCUGCAGUGGGUACGGGCAGACUGGAGUGCGGUAGGGGAGAAUGGAAUUCCUGGUGUAGCGGUGGAAUGCGCAGAUAUCAGGAGGAACACCGGUGGCGAAGGCGGGUCUCUGGGCAGUAACUGACGCUGAGGAGCGAAAGCGUGGGGAGCGAACAGG